rnacentral:misc_RNA from 1 species
UGGAGCGCCAUCCUCUUUCCCUCUCCCGGGGUCUUUCCCCCUCCAACUCUCUCUGUCUUUCAAGUCUCAAACAUUUCUCUUCACCUUGUGUGAUCUCAUCUUUAAUGUCAUUGUAUCAGCUAAGAAUUUGAUUUCUUGAUUAUUGUGGGGGGAGAGCUGGCUGACAUUAGUGUGGAGGUCAAUAUGCAUUCCCGGCUGGGGAACAACGCCGUGCACCCGGUAGGUUCAUCAUCUCAAAUUUUGUCCGGAAGACCAGCGCAGUCGCCAGCGGUGCCUUCUCAUCCUCCGCAUCAGCAAGUGUUAUCCGGCCAUUUCAGGCCGUUCAGGCGGUGGGUAUCAUGGUUGGUGCCGCUGUUUGUGGUUGCCAAUAUUGUUCUGGUUAUUAUCGCCAUGUAUGUCAAUAAUUGCCCCAAGAGCGAGGAGCCUUGCAUCGGCAAGUUUCUUGGGAGAUUCUCG